UGAGUUUGUUUGUUACCUUGGCACCCUUCUCUCCCUGUCUUCCUUCAGGUCCAGCAGGUCCAGGAGGUCCCUGAGCGGGGGAAAUAAGAAAAAGACUAAGACUAACAUCUAUAUGGUUCUGUCUAUCGAAAUAUUAUAUAGAUUUAAUCACUAACUCUCUUUCCUGGAGGACCGGUGGGCCCAGUUUCACCAGUUGGUCCAGGGGAACCCUAUAACAAACAAACACAUUUGACACAGUCAUAUAUGUGCAGCCAAAAGCUGAGAUGCUGACUGAUAUAGAUGCAUACUCACUGGCUGACCAGCUUCUCCAUCAUCUCCCUUAUCUCCAGCAGCCCCAUCCAAACCCUGUGAGAGGAAGAUAGUGUAAGUGAUGUCACUACCUACAGCAAACGCUUACUUAAUGCCCAGUCAAGCAUUAUCUACAUUCAUAACAAGACUUACAGGUGGCCCAGGCUCUCCAGGAGGACCAGGAUCACCAGGGAAUCCACUCGGACCCUGAAAAAAAACAGAUGCAUUAUUUAAGACGCAUUAUUAAGCAUCAGAGUCUAUAUAGAUGUGGUGAAACGUACAGGACUUCCUUUAGGACCAUCAUCUCCGGGUGGUCCUUUUGGACCAGGAGGACCAGCGGAACCAGCAGGUCCAGAUUCUCCCUUCUCUCCUCUUUCUCCUCUUGGACCCUAACGUACACAGACACAUGCAGAUAAGCAUUUUCUCUAUGUCCAGCAGACUUAAAUUACUCAAUAACUUAUUGUAAGUCAAAUGUGUUUUGUGUCAUACCAGAGGGCCAACAUCUCCUUGUUGACCCGGUUCUCCUGGUUCUCCAGAAUCACCCUACAGAAAAGAGAAAAAGAUGGUGAAUGAUGUGGCUGUAAACUAAGAAGAGCAGUUCAGCAUCAUUAUUCACUGUCACGUCAGCAAAACUGCCACGCUUUCUGAAAAUCUCGUACUGAAUGACAAACGGCACCACAUCAAUAUUUCAACAUACUGCAAUCUAGUGGACACAUGACAAUCACCAGUCAGCAAUCACAACAUCGAAUGCACCCUGAUGCCUUCAAAUCAGUUAUGCUUUUAUCCAAAAUGAAUCAUGGUGUAUUCAAGACAAAUAUGUUUGAUCAUACCAUCUGACCGACAUCACCGGUCUCUCCUUUCUCACCAGGUGGUCCAGACCCUGUUGACCUCUGGGACCUGGCUCUCCAUCUGCACCCUGUAAAAAGGAAGUGACAUCACUAACACUGCUUUCAUCACAGGAAGACAAUGGGCCUGGUAAACCUCUCUCGCCUGGGAAUCCUCGUAGCCCUGGAGGUCCAUCUUUACCUGUGGGACCUGCUGGACCUGGAUCUCCCUGUGAUUAUACAAAAUUGGUCCGGGUAGACCCUGUUCACCGGGUGGUCCUGGGGGUCCAGGGUGACCUCGUUCUCCCAUUGGUCCUGUUUCACCUGUUGGUCCCUGCAUAAAGAAAGAAAGAUGGAUUAGAAAUAUCAGAUACCAGAUGGUGUCAACUGAUUCGAUUAUUAUGACACCUUAAGAUCAUCUAAUGAACGAGCGAUGACUGCUGACGGAUUCAUGAAUAUGGAUGAUGUAUCUUUGGCCUCUGUCUGUGGUACUGAGAAAGGAAAAAAGAGAGAGAUUAAUUCACAAGUCCAUCAAAGCAAGAAGAGAGAGAGAGAAAAGAAAAGAAAAGUGCUGUUGAAGCAGUGCAUGCUGGGUCACGGUUAAAUGGAAAGCUGACACCAGAUGGCAUUAUGGGUCCUGGAUGACCAUCCAUUCCAGUCACACCCUGGAGAUAAACAGCAAUAAAUCAAAAUAAACAGGAAUUAAUUUGAUUGAGAUUUUGAUGAACAAAAAGGCAAUUCAUUAAGCAGGAGAUCCUGGGGGACCCUGGGGACCUUUGGGGCCCAGCAAACCACGAGGACCCUGAAUAAGAGAGAGAGAGAGAGAUGUGACUUUCCUAUAUUUACUAACCUUAAUAGAGUUUAUAAUGUUAUUAUAUUAAUAAUUUGUUCAUAAUAUUAAUUAUGUUUUAUUAGUGUAAAAAAUGCAUUAAUUAUUUCUUUUUUUUUUCGCUGGUUAACUCAACUACAGGUGUGAAUCUAGCACCUGUUCAAUCCAAAUAUUUUUUCAUAAUAUAUGCAUAAUCUGUGAAAAAGGUGAAAAUGCAUCUUUAAACAGGAGAAGUGUUUCUAUUUUUGCACAAUGUAUUUAAUCCAAAUGCAGAUAUGGAGAGCCGCCUGCUGGACAGUAUGUCAAACUGCAAGAUAUUUAUAAGUGAAUAAUAGACAGAUCAUCUAAGGUUUUGUCUCUAUAAUAGUUUAUGCUUCUCUCAACCCCAUCAUACAUCUCAUACGGUCUCUCUGACUUGUUUGAAAUAUGCAUUAUACAUUAAAUGUGUGUGUAAUGUGUUUAAUAAUUAUAUAUAUAUUU